AUUAGCUUGUGGGCGAGGUAACGGCUCACCAAGGCGACGAUGGGUAGCUGUUCUGAGAGGAUGAUCAGCCACACUGGGACUGAGAUACGCCCCAGACUCCUAUGGGAGGCAGCAGUGAGGAAUAUUGCGCAAUGGGCGAAAGCCUGACGCAGCAACGCCGCGUGAGGGAUGAAGGUGCUUUGCAUUGUAAACCUCUGUAGGGAGGGACGAAAUCCCGGUUCUGCCGGGCCUGACGGUACCUCCAAAGUAAGCACCGGCUAACUCCGUGCCAGCAGCCGCGGUAAUACGGAGGGUGCAAGCGUUGUCCGGAUUCACUGGGUGUAAAGGGCGUGUAGGCGGGAUGGUGUGUCGGAAGUGAAAUCGUGCGGCUUAACCGUAUCAAUUGCUUCUGAAACUAUCGUUCUUGAGUACGAGAGAGGCAGAUGGAAUUCCAGGUGUAGCGGUGGAAUGCGUAGAUAUCUGGAAGAACACCAGUGGCGAAGGCGGUCUGCUGGCUCGAUACUGACGCUGAGGCGCGAAAGUGUGGGGAGCAAACAGGAUUAGAUACCCUGGUAGUCCACACCAU
rnacentral:rRNA from 1 species